rnacentral:rRNA from 1 species
AGAGUUUGAUCCUGGCUCAGAAUGAACGCUGGCGGCGUGCCUAACACAUGCAAGUCGGAUGUGCCGCAAGGUGCAUGGCAGACGGGUGAGUAACGCGUGGGCAAUCUACCUUUUAGUGGGGAAUAACGAUCCGAAAGGAUUGGUAAUACCGCAUGUGAUCAUCGACUGGGAUGUUGGUGAUGAAAGCCGGGGACCGCAAGGCCUGGCGCUAGAAGAGGAGCCCGCGUCUGAUUAGUUAGUUGGUGGGGUAACGGCCUACCAAGACAUCGAUCAGUAGCCGGCCUGAGAGGGUGAUCGGCCACACUGGAACUGAGACACGGUCCAGACUCCUACGGGAGGCAGCAGUGGGGAAUUUUGCGCAAUGGACGAAAGUCUGACGCAGCAACGCCGCGUGGGUGAUGAAGGUCUUCAGAUCGUAAAACCCUGUCGUCGGGGACGAAGGUGGGCUUGUUAAUAGCGAGUUUACUUGACGGUACCCGGAGAGGAAGCCCCGGCUAACUCUGUGCCAGCAGCCGCGGUAAUACAGAGGGGGCAAGCGUUAUUCGGAAUUA